GACGAACGCUGGCGGCGUGCUUAACACAUGCAAGUCGAACGGAAAGGCCCUGCUUUUGUGGGGUGCUCGAGUGGCGAACGGGUGAGUAACACGUGAGUAACCUGCCCUUGACUUUGGGAUAACUUCAGGAAACUGGGGCUAAUACCGGAUAGGAGCUCCUGCUGCAUGGAGGGGGUUGGAAAGUUUCGGCGGUUGGGGAUGGACUCGCGGCUUAUCAGCUUGUUGGUGGGGUAGUGGCUUACCAAGGCUUUGACGGGUAGCCGGCCUGAGAGGGUGACCGGCCACAUUGGGACUGAGAUACGGCCCAGACUCCUACGGGGGGCAGCAGUGGGGAAUAUUGCACAAUGGGCGGAAGCCUGAUGCAGCAACGCCGCGUGCGGGAUGACGGCCUUCGGGUUGUAAACCGCUUUCGCCUGUGACGAAGCGUGAGUGACGGUAAUGGGUAAAGAAGCACCGGCUAACUACGUG
rnacentral:rRNA from 1 species